UCGCGAAAGCCGGAUUAAUACCGCAUACGCUCUGCGGAGGAAAGCGGGGGAUCCUUCGGGACCUCGCGCUACAGGGGCGGCCGAUGGCAGAUUAGCUAGUUGGUGGGGUAAAGGCCUACCAAGGCGACGAUCUGUAGCUGGUCUGAGAGGACGACCAGCCACACUGGGACUGAGACACGGCCCAGACUCCUACGGGAGGCAGCAGUGGGGAAUUUUGGACAAUGGGCGCAAGCCUGAUCCAGCAAUGCCGCGAGUGUGAAGAAGGCCUUCGGGUUGUAAAGCACUUUUGUCCGGAAAGAAAACCUCGUGGUUAAUACCCGUGGGGGAUGACGGUACCGGAAGAAUAAGCACCGGCUAACUACGUGCCAGCAGCCGCGGUAAUACGUAGGGUGCAAGCGUUAAUCGGAAUUACUGGGCGUAAAGCGUGCGCAGGCGGUUCGCUAAGACAGAUGUGAAAUCCCCGGGCUUAACCUGGGAACUGCAUUUGUGACUGGCGAGCUAGAGUAUGGCA
rnacentral:rRNA from 1 species